rnacentral:rRNA from 1 species
GAUGAACGCUGGCGGCGUGCCUAAUACAUGCAAGUCGAGCGAACAGACGAGGAGCUUGCUCCUCUGACGUUAGCGGCGGACGGGUGAGUAACACGUGGAUAACCUACCUAUAAGACUGGGAUAACUUCGGGAAACCGGAGCUAAUACCGGAUAAUAUAUUGAACCGCAUGGUUCAAUAGUGAAAGACGGUGUUGCUGUCACUUAUAGAUGGAUCCGCGCCGCAUUAGCUAGUUGGUAAGGUAACGGCUUACCAAGGCGACGAUGCGUAGCCGACCGGGGAGGGGGGUAGGCCCCCGCAGGAGCUGACACCCGAUCCAGCGUCCGAGGGACGGCACAGGUGGGGACUGUUCGGAAAUGGGGGAAAGCCUGCCGGAGCACCGCCGGGUGGGUGAUGAAGGUCUUCGGGUCGUAAAACUGUGUUAUAGGGAAGAACAAAUGUGUAAGUAACUAUGCACGUAUUGACGGUACCUAAUCAGAAAGCCACGGCUAACUACGUG